UACGUAGGGGGCAAGCGUUGUCCGGAUUUACUGGGCGUAAAGAGCGUGUAGGCGGCCACGCAGGUCCGUUGUGAAAACUGGAGGCUCAACCUCCAGCUGUCGACGGAAACCGUGUGGCUAGAGUCCGGAAGAGGAGAGUGGAAUUCCUGGUGUAGCGGUGAAAUGCGCAGAUAUCAGGAAGAAUAUCCGUGGCGAAGGCGGCUCUCUGGGACGGUACUGACGCUGAGACGCGAAAGCGUGGGGAGCGAACAGG
rnacentral:rRNA from 1 species